rnacentral:misc_RNA from 1 species
GUGCAUCGAACUGCCGGCUAUCCAUCCGCUUCAUUCUUUCCCCAAGUGGAGCUUCUUCCUUGCGGGUGCGUAUGGUAUCCUGUGCUGCUUACCCAUGAAAUGGUAUUCGAUGGCUUUGUUAUGUCGAUCUGCCAUGUGCCCUUUGGGGUGCGGGGCAGACGCGAGGCGGGCUCUGUGYUCCUGGUGUACUCAACGCAAUGUUUGCUUGGUCACUGUGGCCCACAGAGUCUUAGCUYGCUCUCUUGGAUGCGGAAUACAACGUGUGGGCGUGAGGUCUUGGCCUCGAUUCGUCCAAAGCACUGUUCCUUGACUUGAGCGACUGCCUGCGCCCGUUUUGAUCUUCCCGACCAAGGCCUCGUAAUGGGGCUUWCUGGACGAGGGUUGCUCAUGGGGGCGUCGGCAUCGAAGAGGAAUGC